rnacentral:lncRNA from 12 species
UGAAGAAGCAGAAAUCUUCAGUCGAUUUCCCAUCUGCUCUACUGAAGCCACUGUCACACCAUGCAGACAACUUUCUGUUUCUAAUCUGGCCCAGAUGCAGUCAAACACCAAGAGACCACUACAUUUCCUAGAUGUCCAGAAGAGUGGGAAGAGACAAAUCCUAAACCCUGCUGUAGCAGAUACUCAUUUUAUGAAGAGUC